rnacentral:rRNA from 1 species
AAUUGCCUACGGGGCGCAUCAGUGAGGGAUAUUGGUCAAUGGACGCAAGUCUGAACCAGCCAUGCCGCGUGCAGGAUGACGGCUCUAUGAGUUGUAAACUGCUUUUGUACGAGGGUAAACCCCGAUACGUGUAUCGGGUUGAAAGUAUCGUACGAAUAAGGAUCGGCUAACUCCGUGCCAGCAGCCGCGGUAAUACGGAGGAUCCGAGCGUUAUCCGGAUUUAUUGGGUUUAAAGGUUGCGUAGGCGGUUUGAUAAGUUAGAGGUGAUAUGUCUGGGCUCAACCC